rnacentral:tRNA from 1 species
GUCGCUUUGGCCGAGUGGUUAAGGCGUGUGCCUGCUAAGUACACGGGGUUUCGCCGCGAGAGUUCGAAUCUCUCAGGCGACG